GGAUAGCUCAGUUGGUGGAGCAUGAGACUCUUAAUCUCAGGGUUAAUCUCUUAAACUCAGGGUUCUGGGUUCGAGCCCAAUGUUGGGCA